CAAUGUGACGGGUCAUGUCUUACUCAUUUGCCCUGGUUGCCAUGUUCAUUUAUCUUCUUUUUGGGAUAGCUGUGCCUUGGUAAACCACCGCUGCCGUUUGUAUUCUUUGUCAUUCAAUUUUUGUUUCCUUUUCCAAGCCACACGAUUUCUCUUUUGGCCGAUGAGCUCGAGACCAGGAAAGGUUCCAUCUUUCUCUUUCCUCUUUUCAUUUCUUCCUCUCUUCUUCCCCUCUUUGCUUUUCUUCCACUGGAACAAGCCAACAACAGUCCAACUGUCGAAUGCCCACCUGUUUGAGUUCAAUUUUUUUUUCCCAGAUAUCAUGUCUAUCUGUUGGAUUUAUAUUACAGCAAGAGAAAUGGGACAAAGAAAAACGUAAGCCAUGAAAAGAAGAAGUAGAAAGGGGAAAAAUGGAUCUUCAUCAGAACAUAGGAAGAAGAUGAGAAGAAGAAUAAGCAGAUGAAGAGAAGAGAAUGGAUUUUCAGCCUAAUCGGUGUUGUCCCCGCUGAUUAGUGCUGCUCUCGUAAGUCCCUCUUCUCCCUCUGAUUCUAAGCAGUUCCUUUCACGUACAUAAUCUGGAAAUUUCCUCCACCAUCUUCAUGCGGUUUUCCUUGUGUGUGGAAACUCCCAUGGUAUUAUCAGAAAGUAUGACUUGAUGUGGUGCAGACAAUGCUUCCGCAGCAACACUAAGGAGAUUGGAUUAAUUAAGGUAAUGGAUUCAAAGUUUUAAGAAAGGAAUGAUCAUAUUAUUACCUUCUUAAAAAAAAAAAAACUAAUAGAGCUACUAUGAUGUGGUUGUUGUUUUCAUUGUCAUGUUAAUAUUCAUAUUCAUGUUAGGAUAUGAUUUUGCAUUUAAAUUUUCUUGUACCUGUGGUUCUAGAUACGAGUAUAUGCCAAUUUAAGAAUUUUAUAGUUGGUUGUUGGCACUCUAUGAUACUGAGUUAUGGGUCUUGUUUUUCCAUUUUUGUGCCGUCUUGAAUAAAUUACUAAAUCAUUCUGAUUUUUCUUGCAUUUGUCAUUGCAAUAUCAGUGAACGAAAAGGCCGGUGCCUCCUUGCUAGCGGAUUUUGUUGAGCAAGCUGCCAUUAGAGAUAAAUGGAUCCCAAGUUGUUAUUUUCUUUGUAUUUUGAACAAUUUUGGCUGUUCUAAUUUACCAUUGAACUUGAAUUGGUAUGUGAAUCAACAAAUUCUACCAUAUGCUGUUCUUUAAUAUAGGGUAUCACAUAUUUUCUUGAGGUUGUCCUUGGUGUGACUAUUUUGUGAAUGCAAUUAUGGUGAAUUUUUUAUUUUUAUUAUAACAAAUUGAUGAAUUGCAGGCAAUGUUUUUAAUUAGUUGGUUAAUUCUCUUGAACUGAAUAUUUUGGAUCGUAUAUGUUUUAUGUCGAUGGCAUGACAGAUUGGUUCUCGUUCAUUGUGACCAAAUCUAGAUUUGUAUUGGAACAGAUUGCUUUUUUUUUUUAUUUAUUUAAAUCAGAUGAGGGGAUCUUUUGCAAGCAUUUCUUUUCAUUUUGCUAUUGCAAUAAUUACUGAAAAAUGCAGAGCCAAGGUAUAUUCGUGCAAAAACAUGAAUAUUCUGGAGUAUUUUCAAAAUAAGACUCAUUUUAGCUAAUGAAUACUUAUUAGUGGGUUUACAAUUUUGUCAAGUUAUUAGAGCUUUAUUAUGCCAGCAAUACACUAGAUCAUUUACCUACACUACCUGCAAAAGGUUUUUUUAUUAGAUUUUAGGCAAGAAUAAUGAGUUUUCUAUUAAGUUAUGGUAAGGUUGAGUAUGAGAAAAUUUAGUCCUUGGGAAAAAUGCCAUAUUCACAUUUUUACAUGGAAAAUGCAAUUUUUUGUUUUGUUAUGUAUGUACAUUUAUGGCCCGUAUCUGUUCACAUGAAAUAAUUGCUUAGAAUAAUCAUUUAUGCAAAUUGAUGUGGUCUGAUGCCAAGUUUAGGAUGGGUAGGGAGCUGUAAUGCAAGUGUUUAUUCCUUGAGCGGGACGGCUUCAAUUAAUGAUCUGUUUUUAUUUACUUGAUGAUAAUGUAAAAAGUGAGUUACAUAAUGCUAUAGGGGUUGAGUAAAGGGGAAAGGAGUUAUAUUACAAUGAGGUGGAUGCUUGGUAAAGGUAGUUAUUUGGAUAUGAAAAUGAUAAUAAUGCAUAAUGUUUUCGUCCAAAAAGGUGAUAGUAGUAAUUAUUUUUUUGUUAAAUUUGGUUCGUGAUGAAAUGUAGUACUUAGUUUGCAUUAAUUAUGGUUGAUUCCAUCCAAAUUUGAGCUUGUUUGUAUGUAAUUUGCAGGUUGAUGGUGCUAAAAUUUCUUGUAGAUUUGAACAAGAUACUUAAAUGAGCUUACAUUUCUUCAAAUUGUGAAUGGUUUAUGGAUGGUAGUACACAAUUCUUACAAUGAGGUGGAUGCUUGGUAAAGGUUGAUGGUGCUAAAAUUUCUUGUAGAUUUGAACAAGAUACUUAAAUGAGCUUACAUUUCUUCAAAUUGUGAAUGGUUUAUGGAUGGUAGUACACAAUUCUUAAAGUUUUUAUUACUUUCCAUCUACUUGCACAUAAUUUUGUAGUCACACAAUUGAUGCUUUUCUCAUUCUGGUGAUGUUUUAUUGUAGUAUUUUUAUUUUAUUUUACUAAGCAGGAUGGGAAUUAGAAAUUUUAGGAUGACGUGAGAAAAUGUAUUUAGCAGAUGAAUUUGCCAACAUUUAAUGUCACAUACUGUGGUUAACUUGUUGCUUUUCUAAUGCAUGACUGCUAAUGUUUGAAAUGCAUUAGCCUGUCUCAAUCCUUUUUUUUUUUUUGGUGGGGGGGGAUCAAGCAUAAACAAUCGGUGCUUGCUAAUUGUAAGUUUAGGAUUUUGGCCUUUUUUUGGUGGUUUUCUCUUGGCUAAUUAUAAUCAGCCAAUAAUUAUUUUUUAGAAGUACUGGCUAAUUAUUUUUUCGAUUCUUGGCUGAUAGCAGUCGGAAAUUUGGAGUCAAUUUUAUCUUUCAGCAUGAUUUUUACUUUUCCAGGUCUGUUGUUUUGUUUCUCAGAAAUCUGGUAUUUAUAAAGUUCACGUUAUGUUCUGAAAAUUUUUUCCCUUGAGAAUUUUUCUCAGUUUGCUGCAGUCAAGAAAAGAAAAUAUUAACUAGAUUUGGCCAUGUGGUAUGGGUACUGUAUAACUCCACUUUCUCUUUAUAUUUUUGUGCUUCACUCUCUCAUGAUCUCCUAGAAAUUCCGCACUCAAAGUUACUGGUUUGGUGAUGUCUAUAAACUAUAUAUAGUACUGUAUUUUUUCCUUCUUCGGAACCCUUUUUUUUGGUUUCUACAUAUCCAUUUUUCCUGGUUACAAGAUGAGGAAUUGAGAUAUACAAUCAACGGAUGGUUUUUAUCCUUUUUUUUUUUGUUUUCUUUGGAGUGGUGCACGAUUCACCUCACAGGGUCAUAAACAUAUCUAUACUUAUUAUCCCUUUUUUUCUAAUGAGCUUCCUUUCGAUUGAUCAGCAUCAAAGGGAAUACCCACAACAAUUGAUCAGCAUCAAAGGGAAUACCCACAACAAUACAUCAAGAUAUUACCUGAAAUACACUAAUAAGCAAACACUAUUUGGUUGGAAGAUAGAAAAAUCAAUUCCAAGUGCAGUACAUAAGUCCCGAUUGGCCUUUAUGUGAGCUACUCUAUUUCAUUCUGCUAUGACUACUUUGAUAGCUGCAAGCGCAUAAUAAAGCACUCCAUCAUCAGGAAUGAUGAUAUUGGAUUGGUAAAUCUGACUAAACUCAAGCUUUUCUUUUCUUUCAUGGUGACUUCUCAGAUUAAGAAACUCAAUUGCAGAACUAUGUUAACAAAAUGGCACUUCUCACAUGUGCAGAAACAUCUCAUCAGAGGUUGUUUUCAUUAGGUAGAAAUUGAAAUGUUGAUAUUUUGGAUAGUUAAUUAUAGUGUAAAUUUUUGUUUGUUUAAAUGGUGUUAUUUUCAUUGACCUUGCUAUAUUGUGUAUGGAAGUGGUAAUUAGGUUUAUGGAUCUAGCAAAUUCAAUGUUUACUUUGUUUUGAUCUCUAAUUUGUGGGGAAUUUUAUUAGAUUGAUAUACUAAUCAUGAAGGAAAAAAACUGCCAUAGUCGUUGCAAUCUUUUAGCUCGUAGUGGUCCUUAAGGUAUUACUUUCUUGUGCAAUUUUUUGUGGUUAUUGAAUUUUAAGGUAUUGGCUUAACCUCUAUGAUUCUCUAUUCCAUUAUAUAGGCGAAUCAGCUCAGGGUACAACUAUUACAUAGCGAUAAAGGAUUGAAUAAUAAAUCUUGUAUUCCUGUAUAUUUUCCACUAUUUGGACAUUUGGAUCAUCAGGUGCUUAACGAUAAUCUUUUAGUGAUAGUUUUGAGCUCAUAGCCAAACAAAAUAGAGCUUCUUAGUGAUAGUUGGUAAUCAUCUUUCCGUUUUGUUCAUUACCAAGCAUUGUAAGGGAAAGGAUUUUCAUUUUUGUGUUCUACUUGCCAAUGUAUAUUGUUGCUUCAUGAAUAAUGUCUGUUAAAGAUGUAAUCACAAAAUUUCUCAUGACUCAGUAGUGUCCUAACUUGUGCUGAGGCUACCCUUGCCAACUAUGAGUUUUACAUGGUUUUGCAGCCUAUAUUUUCCUUCAUUUAUUGCAUUGCCUAGAGGACAAUAUAAGCUCUUCCCCUCCGAUGGACUGCUGCUUAAGCUUAUAGAUUACCUCUUAAGUAAUUUUACAAGUUGGAUUGUUUAGGAAAUUUUCUUUUCCAUGGUGUUGUCUGGUUGUAGAUGAUUUAUGUUAUUCUUACUUGCAUUUGAGACUGGUAAGAUUGAAGUCUCAAAACUUGAGUACUCUCUUAAAUUAUCUCACCUACUUAUGUGCCUAUAAUUUGCUAAAGAAAAUGACCUUUUGUUUAUUUAGCUCAACCUAAGCUUUUGCCUUUCUUGGAUUUCUUCUGGAGUUGGAAGCAAAAAUGGCCACCUGUGAAGAACAACUGGUGAGACAAAACGUGGUUAAAGUUUUGCCCAACACAAGGAUUCUCAAAUAUUAGAUUCUAAGCACCUGCUUGAAAUAGUGUCUUAUCGUAUUUUGGCAGCAAGUCUUGAUCAAAGCAUGUAAGCAGUGAAGCAAAUCAGAUGGUAGAUUGUUUAGCUAAUGUAUAGGAUGCUAACAACAAGAUAUCUUUUAUUAUGAUGUUAUGUCCCACCAUCUUUUAGUUGCAAGAUGACUGUUUGGGGAUUUUAUUUUCAUUUUGUAUGAUUGUAUAUUAUUUUAAAGUUCCUUUUAUGAAAAAAAACUUCUAAAACUAUGAAAAGCUAA